rnacentral:rRNA from 1 species
GACGAACGCUGGCGGCGUGCUUAACACAUGCAAGUCGAGCGGUAAGGCCCUUUCGGGGGUACGACGAGCGGCGAACGGGUGAGUAACACGUGGGUGACCUGCCUUUAGCUCUGGGAUAAGCCUGGGAAACUGGGUCUAAUACCGGAUACGACUCCGCGGUGCAUGCUGUGGGGUGGAAAGCCUUGUGCGGCUGGAGAUGGGCCCGCGGCCUAUCAGCUUGUUGGUGGGGUGAUGGCCACCAAGGCGACGACGGUAGCCGGCCUGAGAGGGCGACCGGCCACACUGGGACUGAGACACGGCCCAGACUCCUACGGGAGGCAGCAGUGGGGAAUCUUGCGCAAUGGGCGAAAGCCUGACGCAGCGACGCCGCGUGGGUGAUGAAGGCCUCGGUCGU